AAAAUGCUACAUGUAAUAUAAUAAUAUGCAUACAUUCAUAUUUCUUGUGAAUAGAAACAAUUUCACUGGCCUAAUUUUCUGUUCAAAAUAGAGAAAUAGUCCUUUAAUUAGGGUUUAACAUGCUUAUGCUUUGGGGGUGAUUAGGUAUAUACAGAAAUUCCACUAUUUUGACACUUAAAUUCUAUUUUCUAUUUUCUUUAAUGUUAAAUCAACAAUAUUUAGACUAAAUAAAACCAAAGAAUAUCAACAAUAAGAACCCAUUCUAGAUAAGAUCUUCAAGUCACAAAUAAAACUACAUUCUAGAAACUGAAUGCUUCUUAAGAAAGGAAAACAUUUCAACCCCUCCAUUUUUCAAGGUGCUUUCAAUACCCAAAGACACCUCUGAACUGGGUUUGAUUAACACUUGCUUGUUGUGUGCCCAGUGUAAUUUAAUUUUUCUGUAAUCAUUUUCUGUUUUAUGAAGAUUUCCAUUGUACCAGGAAAAAGCUGACUUUGAUAUUCAGUGGGGUACAGGAUUCAUUGACAGAGAAUGUCAUUAGAAUAUAGCUCUGUUUUAUUCAUUAUUAGUAAUAUGGAUUUAUUCGUACAUCAUACAUACUGCUAAGGGCCUGCUCUGGGAUGUGAAUUCAUAUAUUAUCAGAACACAUUCAGAUACACUUGAAGAAAAAUUUUAUAAAAAAGAAAAAAUACUUGCAAAACUGAGUUGAAGAGCAGCCUUCAUAAGCAUUUAAGAGUUUUUUUUUUUAAAGCAGAAAUCUUGAUCUAAAACUCUUGACUUUAGGGUCCCUAAGGGAUUCCAAUUGUAUUUAAACAAAACAGAAUUAGCAAAAUUUUGUAAUUGUAGAGAAUGCAGACAAAAAUUUAGCCCUAACAAGACCUUCCUCCCCUUUUCCUCAAAACACUUUAGACCCUAGUUCCAACCAGUAUCUAAAGAUAAGGAAAAUAACUUCCAAGAUGAACUCAAACUUUAAAUGAAAAGUGUUUGUUUUUUUAAUUCUGGAAUUUUAAAUGAGUAGUAAUUUAAAUGGGAAAUCUCAAGGAUUCAAAUUAGUUCAAAUAGCGCAAUCUUUCUAGGCAAAGGAAUAUAUUUUAAUGUUUAAGCAAGUUAACACCUGAAUCACACUCAGGUUUCUCAGGCUCAGGUGAGCCCCAGAACCCAACACUGGAAACGGAGGCAUCUGGGGAAGAAGAGCCCUCCCUCCUCCACACAGUGUGGGACCACCUACUUCUCCUUUGCAUAGGAAAUAGUUAUUUCCUUGAUAGAAAAGACUGAGCAGAGAAAGGAAGUCUGGAAUACACUAUUUGGUUUCUUUUCAUCCCCAUCCUUGCUAGGUUUUCCUCGGGCCUCGCCUUCCCUUGGCACUCUCUCCCACCCUUCCCAACCGAAGCUAACAAUCGAAACAUUCACAUUUACAUUUAGCAGGAUAUCUCUCUCUCCCUAUCUAUCAUCUAUCUAUCAUCUAUCUAGUCAUCUGCCCUUAGGUCUCAAAAUAUCACUAUCACCCUAAAUUUGCCUUUACUUCCUGUGUAAUUAAGAAGAUCAUAAUUCUGAAAGGAAAGCUACCAAAUCUCAAUCGCCGGCGGCGGUGAGGGUGCGCUCAACGUGCCCGAGGCUAGCUAGCAGGAGGGCUCGGCCGGCCGCUUGGCGCCAGCCACUGCGCGUGUUGUGUCCUUGACUCGUACAUUUCCCUUCUUAAGGGAGGAUAAUGAACUCUCCUCGGUUCCUAAUUUGUAAAGAUACCGUCUUUACUCAGCACUGAAAUGGGGGUGGUGGAGAAGAGGCCUGGGUCAUGAACCCGGAGAGGUCAGGGCUCCAACCUCUGGCUGGGUCUCUCCUACAACCGGGAGACGGUGGCCAACUGUGUCUGCGGGUCCCUCGGUUCCCCAGAAGAAAGAGCCUCGGGCUGGAGGGCGUAUGUGCCCGCGCGAGUGUGCAGGCCCGUCCUGCAGUCCCCCUAGGGGUCUCUAGAAAGGGGAGCUUUGCCUUUCCCGGGGUAAGCGAGGCCUAGAGGGCGGGGCCGAGCCUUGGGCGCAGAUUCCUGCGGCCUCCAGAGUCCAAGCAGCCGGGUACCCCCAGCCCAGGGCCGCCCCGACGGCCUCGACUCGGUGCCCGCGAGGCCAGUAGGUGUCGCUGUUCCCCUGCUGGCCGGAGCCGGGAGCCCAGCGCUGGACCCCCGAGCCACUCAGCCUUCCGUGCCCGGUGGGUUCACAGACCCACCAGAGCUCCCGAGAGAGGGCCGCUGCCCCCGGGGACCGUCCCCUCUCUCACCUGGCCAAGACCGCAGCGACACUGGCCGGCCUAAGAGAGCGCCUUCGGGGAGAGAAGGAAGAGGAGUCUGUUGGGGCAAAACGCGGGGCCCCGACGGAAGCGGCUCGAAGCCACCAACUCUCCCUCCUUUCUCUUCUUUUCACGUGCUGUGGGUAGCGACUGGGCACUGGGACCAUCCUGGUAAAAUCCCGAGCCGGACAUUCAACCGGGGCGCCACACUGGCUUUAAAAAUAAACAAGAGGUUGAAAUCCCAGCUUCGUGGGAGCUAGCCACAGAAACAGUGGAUUGGUUUCGAUUUCUUGCCUUAAAAAAAAAAGAAAAAGAAAAGAGAAAGGAAAAAAAAAAAAGGAAGAAGAGAAAGAAAAGAAAGAAACCUGGGCCUGGCCACAUGCAUGAGCUACAUACCAUGUUGUACGCACGUCUGUACGCAGAAAUGCCGGGUAACGGCGACCGCCCCCCUCCCCCGACCCAGGAAGGAGUCAGUAUUUGGAGGCGGUUGUCUUCACCGAAAGCACUGCUUGCCAAGUAUUAUUCCCCUUCGGAAACCUAGCAGUUAGCACGUCUUUGGAAUCUGUAUUGAAAUUCUAGGUAUUGAGAGCUCUGCCCCCUUCUUUGGCGUCCUGCGGCUCCCGGCCUUCAGCCUCGGUGUGCCGCGUGAGAGAUUAUUAAUCAGAAGAGUUCUUUUUGUGUGUGUCUCAAAAGGAGGGGAGUUUGGCUUCUGAAUACCGAGAGGAUAUUUACAAUGGGUACAUCCUCUAGGUGACUGGAGAUUUUAUUAUGAUUCCGAUUAUUCUGUACUGGGAAAUCCCUGCUCCGAUUUGAAGAUAGGGAGGGGGGGACCGUAUUGAAAACGCUAAGUUCGGAAUCUCAAGUUAUUGAAAGAAUUAGUAUGCAAAAUGGAACUGGCUAUGUAUUUAAACCAACGUUUAAAAUCAUAUCCUCAGUUAAGAUGUGGGGAUACUUUGCAGUAAAAAUGUUAAAAGACCCACACUUUAUCUACAUUUUCUUUUGGUAAACGUAAUCAGUUCGUGUAGGAGAAAAAUGUAACAAUCAAAUGCCAAAGAGGAAGAAGGAAAAAUUCUUACUUAAAGUCCAAAAUAUUUCGGAAAACCUCUUGUUUCUGACUCUGGGCCUCGGUCUCGCUAUCUCAGAAGACAAGGCUGGGCAAGUGCCAGAGUCUUCAAGGCAAGCCUUAAAUUUUUAAUGUGAGGUGGCCAACAUCAUCUUUAAAUGUCAUGCCUUUCGCUGUUUCCCAAAAUUGGCUCCUUUCGUUAAGUCCUAUAUCUGUUAUACAAUUCUAAAUAAUUAUUUCUGAUUGAGAUGGCAAAUUAAUCAUUCGGUGACGUGGGAGGAGGGGAGAAACACGUGUCUAAUUGGAGGUUGUGAAGUUCAGUGAGGUGGUAUUUUUAGCUUGGAGAGUCCAAAUUCAGAUAUUUGGGCAACUCUCCCCCUCCCAUCGUUUCCCCACUCCCUCCCCAUUUUGCUCCCUCUUUCACUCAACUCUUUGGGCUCCUCUCCCCGAUUUUGCCCCUGUCCUCAGCUUCUUUCUCUCCCCCUUCCCCCCCUCAAACGCCUCUCCUCUUUCCUCUCCCUUCUUCUCUUCCCCUCCACCCCCCCAUCUCUCCGUGUGUAUCUCUCUCUGUUUCCCCCUCCCCUAUUUAUUGUCAGAUCCUAUCAGCCAAGUUAACAUAAAAGUAGCAAGUGGGAGGCCCAACACCUUCCCUCCCGCGCUCCCAGGGCACUUUGGGGAGGUGUCAGCCGCUGACAGGUUACCGGCCGGAGUGUUGGCCCUUGGUGCUGGGCACGCUGCCUGCGGGAGAGUAGGGGUCUGUGCGGGUUGCGGGCCUUAUUCAAAUACCGCCCGCUGCUGCUGUGAUUCGCAGGGACUCGGCCUCCAUAUGACGCCGAAAGGAGGCUGUUUGUGUACUGCGGCUGCCCUGUGAUUCUGGAUCUUGUCUUCUGGCCGGCGCCUCGAUUCCUGCCCAGCUGGAUUGGGGGGCAACACUGCCUGGCGCAGGGACGAGAGCAAAUGAGACUACAAAGAAGCAUAAAAUGAAUAGACAAUCCAACCAACCAAAGAGCCGGGGCAGCAGCACACCAGCAAGACGGCAUCUUCUCCUCCCCAGCCUAGAAGCCCUGUGAAAUCGAGGAUCUUCCCCCUAAAACACACACACACAAGAUAUGUGCAAUCAAGCUGCCACCGCUUGGUAAAAAGCUCAUGGUGCCUAAACCAAAAGGAUCCGGAGCAGAUCCUUGAAUCAGCUGUCACUUCUUCUAUAGAAUGGGAUUUUUUUUUUCCCUUCCUCCUUAACCUGCGCUGGAAAUUGCUGUUGGCUUUAUACGUCUCUAUAGAGGGAGGCUAAGGAGUCUUGCGUGAGAAGGAAGCAAUUUACAAUGCAAAUAGAGGCCUGUGAAGGGACGGAUAUGCUGCUUACUCUUAACCGCUUGCUGCACCUUAAUAGCUGGCUUUAUUUUCUGAUAUUAAUAGAUGAAUUGUUGGCUAACGCUGCUGGAGAUUACUUGCUGAAAGGAAAAAAAAAAAAGUUCGGAAUAAACUUUGAAAGCAACAGCUCUCGUUUGGAUGUCUAGCCGCACACACAGACAGAAACCAGGUCAUAUUUACAUACAAGGAGGAAUCUUUUGCGCGGCAAAGUAUCCUGGAGGACUACUUACUCUUCGGUACUGCCAGAAAGAUCUGGAUCUGGAGUCUGGGCAGAAGAAGACAGAGGCUGUGAGGGAAGCGAGUUGUUAUCUUUGGUUAUCUAGCUGUAUGAGUGUAUUGGUCUUCAUAAAGCUAGAUAACCGAAAGUAAAAACUCCUUCAAGAUCGCCGGGGAGCGUGUGAGAAUGAACUGCAACCAAGAGACAGUAAAAACCAGAAAGGUCAGGAAUACUUAUUGAAUCUAACUUUGUUUCUGUGUUUGUUUUUCCCUUAUGACGAAAGGUGGGGUUAGAGGAAAUUGACACACGUAUGCCAAAACAUUAAGGUGCCGAUAUUUUGUGAGGUUGUUACAGCUGCGAAGAGUUGUAUAGUGCUAAUGAGUAAAGAGGCACAUGUAGUUUGUCCUACUUUAAGGUAAAAGUUUAUAAAUGGAGGGUUUUUGUUUUUCCUAGAGAGCUGUUGUAGAGAUGUCUGGUACCUAGUUUGAAUAUGAUUCCAUAUACGUAGACUUAGGCUAUUCCUUAACGAGGCCCCUCCCCUGAAAAAUUUGAAGAUUAUGCUUGGAAACUGCAUGUAUUUGGGUUGUAUGUCAAAUUAUAUGAAAUUAGACUUUCAGAAGAGUUUAUACUGGAAGGUUAAUAAUCUGUAUCUACUGAGGACAUAGAGCUAGGAAGGAAAAUGCAAAAAAAAAAAAAAGCAAAGGCUGAUUUUUUAUUCUUCUAUUCAAAAUACAAGGACAGAUGCUUCUGUGUUCCAAGAGGGUUUCCUUGAGGAAGCUACUGAAGCAGAAAGACAUGAUGGAGACGAGAUCGCCUCCCCUCUUGUCAAAGUGUUAAAAAAAUGUUCUGUCUUACUCUGCGCCUAGCAUUGGAAAUGAAAGUGACAUUUACGCCACAACCCACGUGUGCGCCUCCUCUCUUUUUGUUUAAGGAUGAUCAGGUCUAUCCAGGAAACAGCUCUGGCAUCCCAAACUGAAAUAAUUAGGACGUAUAUAGACCUGACAAAAAUGGAAAGGGGGUGGGGAAUCUGAGGGUCUGUCUUGCCUAAUUGAUUCCGCUAAACGGAAUGCAGGAGAUGUGAACGGCAGGACGCUCCGAUUCCCACGCUCGGGGGCAAGUGGUAAAGCGGGGCCGGCAGCCUAUGACAGACAGCCCUGUUGGGGGGUGAGGGUAUGAAAAAAACAUCAAGUACACACACCAUACUCAUCUCCAUCGCUUAAGAAAGUAGAGGCAUUUCCCACCCACAGCCAUCGGCAGCCUCCCAAAUGGCAGUACCAACUGGUCUGUAGCUGCUGUGUACUGUAUGUUUCUGUUAAUUUUAUAACCGCUGUUUAAUCUGGCCAUAAUUAAGUUUGGCUUUUUUCUUCGGUUGAGAUUUUCAAUAUUUAAGGAAAGCUAGUAGAAAAGUUCCCAAAAUGUCCCAUUACUGCCUGCCCCUCACAUCAAAUUCUCAGUCCCUACUUGUGACCACCUUUUGGCUUUUGUUUUGGGAGGGUUAUAUUUUAAAAUAUGUCUCUGUAUAACAGACAUUAUAAUCACUUCAUCAGGCUGUUUACCUCUGAACAUGAUAUAUCUAGGAACUUGGUCUAAUUAUGCUAGUAGGCACACACUGGAAGUAAAAUUAUAAAAUCAUCAACCUAAAAAGUGUUAAUUAUAAUAUGAUAAAAGUUUGUUCUAGUAUAGUACCAGCUAGAUGUGUUCUAAACAGUCUUUUUUUUUAAUCUAAAAAUGACUCUGCUUAGCAGAAACCUUUGGCAUUUUAAAGGUCCCCAUUGUAAUCUUUUCAUAGAAGUCCUUACAUUUUUCCACAUGUCACCGAUCAAACGUUUGUAUAGGCAUUUAUAUAUAAAUACAAACAUUGCAUUAGAAAAUGUCCAAAAUGACCUGUUAUCUUCCAUGUGACCUAGAUUACUGACAAUCCCAAAUCCCAAACAUAUAGUUUUUCUUCAAAACCAUUACGUGUUCCGUUGUAGUUUCAACUCCUUGUAAGACUGCAGACUGGAGAAGCCUGUAAAACCACUGUUAGUUUCAGAUAGAAACUCUGAGAGAUUUUAUUAACGUAAAUUCUCAAUUUGGCUGCUGAACACGUGCCAAAGUUUUACUACUGUAGUGACCGUUGAGAAGACCCUUGUUUAUUUACAUUUGAAGUACUGUUUGUGCAAACAACCUUUCAUUGUUAAGUGCCUGUAUUCCUUUCAUUUACUUCAUGUCCAGGGGUGCUAUUUACCUAGAACCAUUGUCUACUACAAUUAACAUUUACAUUACAAAGUGUGUGGUUUUCUUUCUCAAGGAGGUUCAAUUAAGGCAAUAAGAUGUUUGCUGGGGAAACCUAUUGUUUACUAAAAGCACUCAAUGGAGUCAAAUUACUGAAGCUUUUGCCUACAUCUUGGUCUUUUAUGUAAAUGUGUUAAAUAUAACAUCUAAGGAAAAUAAACAAUAUUAUAAUUAUGUGUUUGCCAUUGUCAUAUCAAACUUGCUUUGUAUCAUACUAAUGUUACAUGACUUAUCGAUCAAUAAAAAUGCAUUUCAAUGUUA